CUGUAACUUGGAAUUGGGUUUAGGCUUUGUUUGCGUAGAAUAGGUGGGAGGCUAAGAUAAUAAACUUGCGGGCUUAUUGGAGCCAUCAGUGAAAUACCACUCUAGCAAAGUUAGAAUCCUAACCUUGAAAGCCGUUAUCCGGCCAAGGAACAGUUCCAGGUGGGCAGUUUGACUGGGGCGGUCGCCUCCUAAAAAGUAACGGAGGCGUGCAAAGGUUCCCUCAGACUGGUUGGAAAUCAGUCGCAGAGUGUAAAGGCAUAAGGGAGCUUGACUGCAAGACCUACAAGUCGAGCAGAGACGAAAGUCGGCCUUAGUGAUCCGACAGUGCCGAGUGGAAGGGCUGUCGCUCAACGGAUAAAAGUUA
rnacentral:rRNA from 1 species